UGAUAAACAUGACUAUAGUCUUAACAGUCAUGACUAUAGUCUUAAUUGUCAUGACUAUAGUCUUGACUAUAGUCGUGAUUGUCAUGACUAUAAUCUUAA